rnacentral:rRNA from 1 species
UGGGGAAUAUUGGGCAAUGGGCGCAAGCCUGACCCAGCAACGCCGCGUGAAGGAAGAAGGCUUUCGGGUUGUAAACUUCUUUUAUCAGGGAAGAUGAAUGAGACUGUACCUGAUGAAUAAGCCACGGCUAACUACGUGCCAGCAGCCGCGGUAAUACGUAGGUGGCAAGCGUUGUCCGGAUUUACUGGGUGUAAAGGGCGUGUAGGCGGGAUUGCAAGUCAGGCGUGAAAACCAGAGGCUCAACCUCUGGCCUGCGUUUGAAACUGCAGUUCUUGAGUACUGGAGAGGUUGGCGGAAUUCCUAGUGUAGCGGUGAAAUGCGUAGAUAUUAGGAGGAACACCAGUGGCGAAGGCGGCCAACUGGACAGCAACUGACGCUGAGGCGCGAAAGCGUGGGGAGCAAACA